rnacentral:rRNA from 1 species
AGUGAACGCUGGCGGUAGGCCUAACACACGCAAGUCGAACGGCAGCACAGUAAGAGCUUGCUCUUACGGGUGGCGAGUGGCGGACGGGUGAGGAAUACAUCGGAAUCUACUUUUUCGUGGGGGAUAACGUAGGGAAACUUACGCUAAUACCGCAUACGACCUACGGGUGAAAGCAGGGGAUCUUCGGACCUUGCGCGAUUGAAUGAGCCGAUGUCGGAUUAGCUAGUUGGCGGGGUAAAGGCCCACCAAGGCGACGAUCCGUAGCUGGUCUGAGAGGAUGAUCAGCCACACUGGAACUGAGACACGGUCCAGACUCCUACGGGAGGCAGCAGUGGGGAAUAUUGGACAAUGGGCGCAAGCCUGAUCCAGCCAUACCGCGCGGGUGAAGAAGGCCUGCGGGUUGUAAAGCCCUUUUGUUGGGAAAGAAAAGCAGCAGGUUAAGACCCCGCUGUUCUGACGGUACCCAAAGAAUAAGCACCGGCUAACUUCGU